rnacentral:rRNA from 1 species
UACGAAGGGUGCAAGCGUUACUCGGAAUUACUGGGCGUAAAGCGUGCGUAGGUGGUUUGUUAAGUCUGAUGUGAAAGCCCUGGGCUCAACCUGGGAAUGGCAUUGGAAACUGGCUGACUAGAGUGCGGUAGAGGGUAGUGGAAUUCCCGGUGUAGCAGUGAAAUGCGUAGAUAUCGGGAGGAACAUCUGUGGCGAAGGCGACUACCUGGACCAGCACUGACACUGAGGCACGAAAGCGUGGGGAGCAAACAGG